rnacentral:lncRNA from 1 species
GCCGAAAGUGCUCAAGAUGCGGCUUCCGAAUUCAGGUUCGGCCCCCGAAUGUGGCAUGGUUUUGCAUGCGAUUCGGCAGCCGAAGCUGAGUUGCUUAGCCAGCAGUUUUGUAACCCUUAGUCAGCAUUGUGGAUAGGUGUUAUGUCCACCUUGUUGCCAGAAGCUUGGCCACGUCUCCCCUGGUUUAUUUGCUGAGUUUGAGCAGC